rnacentral:rRNA from 1 species
GAUGAACGCUGGCGGCGUGCCUAAUACAUGCAAGUAGAACGCUGAAGGAGGAGCUUGCUCUUCUGGAUGAGUUGCGAACGGGUGAGUAACGCGUAGGUAACCUGCCUGGUAGCGGGGGAUAACUAUUGGAAACGAUAGCUAAUACCGCAUGACAACAGUUACUGCAUGAUAACUGUUUAAAAGGGGCAACUGCUCCACUACCAGACGGACCUGCGUUGUAUUAGCUAGUUGGUGAGGUAACGGCUCACCAAGGCGACGAUACAUAGCCGACCUGAGAGGGUGAUCGGCCACACUGGGACUGAGACACGGCCCAGAGUCCUACGGGAGGCAGCAGUAGGGAAUCUUCGGCAAUGGACGGAAGUCUGACCGAGCAACGCCGCGGGAGUGAGGAAGGUUUUCGGAUCGUAAAGCUCUGUUGUAAGAGAAGAACGAGUGUGAGAGUGGAAAGUUCACUCUGUGACGGUAACUUACCAGAAAGGGACGGCUAACUACGUG